UAUAGGAGGCAGCAAAAAAACUUCAAGUAGCCAUUUUCCAGCAAGUUUGAAGAAAAAACCCUCAGGUACCCCCUGCACUGAGGAAAGACACACCCUGGCACUGACAGUGACGUAUGGCCUGGCUCUGAGCUUCGUCAGAUGCCAUAUGCUUCGGCUGAGAGAUAGCUGACAGCCACGACAGCACAUCAAUUAUUGUCAUCCAGCCACCUACUAGAACGCACAGGGGCUCAUCCCAGCUUCUUUGUCAUAUCACUACAAGAACUCAUUAAGUGUUCUGUGUUUAAACCCCUUGCUUUUCUCUAGAAAAAUAAAUUAAUCUAAUUGUGGCUGACGCAAAGGCUUGGGUUGGGCAAGGAUGGUGCCAGCAAAGGCUCUGUGGUUGAGGAUACACCAUCACAACCAGCAGUUUGGAAGACACCCCUCAGAAAGCUGCUUCUGCAACUCCCCCCUAGAACACCAUCUACGUCUCAAACUGACUGGGACAGCAACGUGGAAAACAGAAUCCAAAACUUCAAUUUUGCUCCCCUGGCUGAUAGUGACAGUUUUAAAAUAUGCAAACUCUACUCCCAUACUCUUUUUUCUCACACAAGAAACUGGGUGCUUUAAGACCUUCACCCUGAGUACUUAAUUAUUACUUGUCUUUCUGGAAUACAAUUUCUAUCAUUAUUCAAGGAUCCAAUCUAGAAUUAGAAAGAAAAUUACACCACAA